CCUACGGGAGGCAGCAGUGGGGAAUAUUGCGCAAUGGGCGAAAGCCUGACGCAGCGACGCCGCGUGAGGGAUGAAGGUCUUCGGAUCGUAACCCUCUGUCAGCAGGGAAGUACGGUCACUGUGCUAAUCAGCAGUGAAUUGACGGUACCUGCAAAGGAAGCACCGGCUAACUCCGUGCCAGCAGCCGCGGUAAUACGGAGGGUGCGGGCGUUAAUCGGAAUUACUGGGCGUAAAGCGCUCGUAGGCGGUAUGUCAAGUCAAGGGUGAAAUCCCCGCGCUCAACGUGGGAACUGCCUUUGAAACUGGUAGACUGGAGUGUGGGAGAGGAGAGUGGAAUUCGAGGUGUAGGGGUGAAAUCCGUAGAUAUCUGGAGGAACAUCAGGGGCGAAGGCGACUAUCUGGCACAUAACUGACGCUGAGGAGCGAAAGCGUGGGUAGCAAACAGGAUUAGAUACCCGGGUAGUC
rnacentral:rRNA from 1 species